rnacentral:rRNA from 15 species
AGUAAUUCAACUUAGUACGAGAGAACCGUUGAUUCAGAUAAUUGGUAUUUGCAUCUGUCCGAUCGGGCAAUGGUGCGAAGCUAUCAUCUGCUGGAUAAUGGCUGAACGCCUCUAAGCCAGAAUCCGUGCUAGAAGCGAUAACAUUGGUCCCGCACAUGCCUUGUGUUGGAAUAGAGCUUUUGCUCGUACACCAUACGACAGGUAGGGCACAGUUCCGGAAAGGGUGCUGUGUCCCCUGUACAUUACAAUGUGAAACAUGCGCGGGGGAAAAUCCUUUGCAGACGACUUGAAUGGGAACUGGGUGCUGUAAGCAGUAGA